AGAUUGAACGCUGGCGGCAUGCCUAACACAUGCAAGUCGAACGCGAAAGGGGGCAACCCUGAGUAGAGUGGCGGACGGGUGAGUAACGCAUCGGAAUUUACCCUGUCGUGGGGGAUAACCAAGGGAAACUUUGGCUAAUACCGCAUGAUCUGGAGACGGCAAAGCGGGGGACCUGCAAGGGCCUCGCGCGAUGGGAUGAGCCGAUGUCUGAUUAGCUAGUUGGUAGGUAAAGGCCUACCAAGGCGACGAUCAGUAGCUGGUCUGAGAGGAUGAUCAGCCACACUGGGACUGAGACACGGCCCAGACUCCUACGGGAGCAGCAGUGGGAAUAUUGGACAAU
rnacentral:rRNA from 1 species